UGCGCAAACCUAGAGAUAGGGCUUCUCCUUCGGGAGCAGAGUGACAGGUGGUGCAUGGUUGUCGUCAGCUCGUGUCGUGAGAUGUUGGGUUAAGUCCCGCAACGAGCGCAACCCUUGAUCUUAGUUGCCAUCAUUAAGUUGGGCACUCUAAGGUGACUGCCGGUGACAAACCGGAGGAAGGUGGGGAUGACGUCAAAUCAUCAUGCCCCUUAUGACCUGGGCUACACACGUGCUACAAUGGACGGUACAAAGAGCUGCAAGACCGCGAGGUGGAGCUAAUCUCAUAAAACCGUUCUCAGUUCGGAUUGUAGGCUGCAACUCGCCUACAUGAAGCUGGAAUCGCUAGUAAUCGCGGAUCAGCAUGCCGCGGUGAAUACGUUCCCGGGCCUUGUACACACCGCCCGUCACACCACGAGAGUUUGUAACACCCGAAGUCGGUGGGGUAACCUUUUUGGAGCCAGCCGCCUAAGGUGGGACAGAUGAUUGGGGUGAAGUCGUAACAGGGAAACCCGUA
rnacentral:rRNA from 1 species